AUGGUCCACACUAGCCUGAAUCACAGCACCAGCCACUACAUGAACUCUACCUCCCCCACUGGCCUGCACGGACUUCCACUGUGGUACCAGUAUCCACUUUGCGCAGGGGCGCCUUAUGGCUUUAUUUUCUACUAUGGCGUCAAAAUGUUUAACCUGGUAGUUGGGGCACCCUGCAACUUCCUGGUCAUCUGGCAAAUCGCUACAAAGAAAAGCGACGCGUCAACCUCUGAUAUCUUCAUCUUCAACCUGGCCGUCUUGGACGCCUACUUCUGCCUAAUGACACCAGUGGAGUUGGUCAAUCACCUGUUGCUGGAUGACAGUGGGAUCUGGUACUUUCAAAGGUUCGCUUAUGGACUCAAAGACCUUGCCGUGCUGUUUUUGGUGUGUAUCUGCUUGGAUCGCUACACAGCAGUGGUCUACCCGGUACUGUUCUCUGGCAUCCGAGACAAUCGGAUUCGUACUGGCAUUUGUGUUGUGGUCUGGGGGCUCAUCCUGGCUUACGCUGUCAGCAAGUGCAUCCUUGGAUCCAAGAGCGUCAACAGCGUUUUUAGUGGCGCCAUCCUAUUCACCUUCACAAUCAUGGUUUUCUGCAACAUUUCCAUCAUCUGGGUCCUUCGCCGUACAGUGGCAGGAAAUGGUGCGAGGCACCCAGUAAAGCAGAAGGCUUUCAAGAUGGUGCUCACCAUCCUGGCCAUAAUCGUGGUCAACUACCUCCCGCCAGUGGCUCUGAUGCCCUUUGCGUCAUACUACACAUUUGUGGAGUUCAACUGCCAGAUCCGCACCAGUGUCUUCUCAAUCAUGGAUCUGAGCUGCAGCAUUGAGCCACUCCUCUACCUCACCAAGAUGGAGUUCAUGGAUGGGUGUAGGUGCAGAUUCACCGAGAAGACACAAGACGUGGCAACUUGAGCAAAAUUGGAAAUUCAGCAUUUCUUCUCGAUCAUUUUUAAAGCUAAACUAGUGUGUUGGCCAAUAUCACAUGAUCAACUGAUCCAACUGGUAAAAUAAAUAAUCUGACAAUUGUAGCCUCACAAUUUAUUUUGGAAUGUUUGAAUUCUUAGAACAUCCUCCAGGCAAUGUGCAUUUAAAAAAAUGCUUAAUUUCACACUGCAGAGUGUUCUGAAGUACAUUAAAUGAAAUCUGCCACAGUUACAAACAACAGCAUCAAGUCUGAGUAAUUUUUAUGAGUAGCUCUUUCAAACUCUCCGGGCUGGCUUUGGGUCCAUCCUCUGAUGUCACAUAACCUGGGUAAAUGGCGUGACACUGAGGAAUAGAUGCUCUAGUGUCACCCACUCCAAUCUCUGGUGAUGAAGGUGGGAAGAGGGGUAACAGUUUGGCAUGCGCGUAGUCAAUCUCAAAACCUUCAAAAAUAAGACCCGUACCACAGGAACCUAACCCAGCUUCAAGUAGCCUUGAUACCUCCCAUGAGGCCAGCACCAUCCUCUCAUAGUCACCUUUUUCUAACCUGAAUAUAUCAGAGGUCAAAGGUUGCCGUGGCACUAGUACUGUGAAGCCAGGUGUGUUGGGAAAAGGAGUGAGAAAGGCAACAUGAGCCUCAUCUUCCCACACACGCCACUGCUGCUCUUCUCCACGUACGAUGCGUGAAAACAAUCCUGGAUGAGCUGGAUCAUCCCCAAGAAAAGUCAGGUCGUGUGGAGCAUCUGGAAAUGGGAGCUUGGCUCGAAUCUUGGCCUGGAUCUCAUUCAGGCGAGACUCACUCCACCUCGGAGCGGUCUUGGAGGUGCAGUACCCUGGGUCACAGGCAUUAUGCUCCUCAUCUCCUGCCAAGUGAGGCCGCCACUCCGAAUCCAAACCAUGUAAUGGGAGAAUACGAAUCUACAAAAUAAUAAACAAACACGCAUCUUAUAACAAGCAUAUAAGCUUGUUCGAGCUCAUAGACCUUUCAAGUGUUUCAACCAAAAAAUAUAUAAUUUAUUUUGUUAAAGGAAAUCAAGUAGAAACAGGAAAAUAUCUUACUGUAUGAUUCCCCAAAAGACGGAAUUCUACAACUAAAACACUUCCCAAGAAUUGCAGUCAGGAGGUACCUGAGCUGGUGAGUCUCUGUGAGGUCUGCUGACCAGGGCACACCUACGAACUGCUAGUCUGUCACACAGAAGCUCUGCGACGGCUCUGGCCCCCAACAGCCAAGAUAAAAACUCCUGCUUCUUCAAGUGGAAGAUGCUGCCUCCCAGGCUGCCAGAGGUGCUGCUCUCCAGGAUGACGGACCCUGGGGUCCAGGGACAGGGAUGAAGGUAGGCCACCAAGCCAUCAGACGCCCAGAUGACAUGAUGUGGAGAAGAUGAAGUCAUUCUGUGGGCGUUUUAAACAUGCCAUGAUUUUAAAAAGUUUUGAUUUAUUUUGAGGAAUACAGGUAGUCGUGAAAAGACUUAUUGAUGAAAAGAAAAACAUUUAAAAUUAUUAAGUAUGUGCGACAGUAAUCUCCAAAUUGUUAGUUUAAUACCGAGAAACCGAACUUUACGUGAUAUUUAUUAAGCCUUUUUUUUUUUUUAAAACCUCCCAAAAAGAAAUUGACAUGUUGGUUACAUCAUAAGCGCGUGACAGAAAAAGAAUCAAUACUAAUGUCAAUUAGGAGUGACUGGUCAUAAAGUAAAGAAGCCUGCACAAAAGACAACAUUUUUAAUUGUCGUAAACGACAAAAGAUUUAUAAAUUAAAUCUAGCAUAAACCAGUAAAAUAGUUACUCGUAACUGUUUAACCAGUAUGUUUUAUCUGCCAGCUGAAAACCUGAAAGAUAACGUAAAAACCUCAAAAACCCUACCUUCUAAUCCCGGAUCGCACAACCUGCAUACACUAAUGUACAACCUGGUGAAUAACUAAAAAAUCAACUUAAUAGGAGUUCUAGCAAACAUCGGUGCACCGAUGUCCUCCACAAGUUCUGCUGCUUAUAACUAAUUCUUCUUCUUCGUUUUAAGCUUCUUCUUCAUGCUUCAAGUUAGUUUGACGACCCUACAGCGCAUUGCUUCCAUCUAGUGGCCACUUUGGGAAGCCACUCAUUUCGUUUUUUUCGGAGAAUCUUCUAAUGUACCGUAGCCCGCACUGUUGAAUUGUAUUAUUCUGAAUGGUUAAUAUAUUUUGAAGCAUCAUAAUCGUAAUCUCUUAAUAAUAAUAUGGUUAUUGACAGGCUUUUCUCUGCUUGUCGCUUGUUUAAAAAGGUAUUACAUGUAGGAUUUAUA
rnacentral:lncRNA from 1 species